GUCAAAACAGUUCUAAUCAGACCCAGAUUCAAAGGGAGGAGAAAUAGACACCACAUCUAAAUGGGAGAUGUUUCAAAGACUUUGUGACCAUCUAUAAUUUGCCACAGAUGGUAAAAUCGAUGUGUGAAAUAGGAAUGCAGAAAAAAAAAUUAAAAAAAGAUGAGCAAACUGCAUCAAAAUAUUUUGUUAAUAUAGAAGAAUGAGUAAUUUAAAAAACAGAAUAGAAUAGGUUCAUUGCUGGUAAUGAUAAGAAGCUUAAGUUGAUCAAGCAUAUGAAAUUAUAGUUCCAAGUAGCCAAGUGACGAAGGUUCUUAUCAGAGCUAACAGAGGACAACAAGGCAUGGCUGAUAGCCCAGAGCCUCUUAUUUGGGUAUAGAUGUGAUGGUGCAUUAUUGAGUUAGUUAUUGAUUAUCAUAUAAUAAAUUACCCCAAGAAAAAGUUAUCUUUUUGCAGUUUGGGUGAAUCAAACUUUACUCGCUAGUAGUGGCUCAAGAUUUCUCCAGGAGUUGUAGUUAGAUGGUCUGCAGGACUGUAGUCUCAUUUGAAGGCAUGACUUCCAAGAUGACUCGUGUACUUGUUGUCAGGGGUCUUCUGUUCCUUGCUACAUUGGACUAUUCAGACAUAGCUCCCCCAGAACAAGUGAUCCAAGAAGAGGGUAAUAUCCAAAUAAUAAGCUGAAGAUUUUUACAAGAUAAUCUUGGAGGUGACAUGCUAUUGUCUGAAUGCUAUUGGUGACAUAGACUGACCCUGGUACAAGGUAGGACAGGAUCUACCAAGGAUGCAAGGAGAGGAUGCAUAAGUCACAGGAUCCAAAGAAUAAAGGCAAUCUUGCCUUCCUCUCCUGUCACAUGUAGAAGCUCAUAUCUUAUGCAAGAGACAGGCUUUUCAAGAAAUUUAAUCUCAAAUUAAAAGAGUAGAACUUGAGAAGGUACACGAACUCUUAAGACAGGCUUCUCACUGCCUGUAAAAAUUCUGUCACAUGAUGGCUUCAUAGCUGGGGUUAACCAAAAUCUAUAUGAACCCACUAUAAACAUUAUCCUAAUCAAAACAUGGACUGGCAAAUUCCCAGUGGCCUGGUUAGACAAGCACUUUAAAAAUAUGAUACCAAAAGCAUAAUGAAAUGAAAAAUAAAGUGAGCCUUACUAAAAUAAAAGCCUUACUAAAAUAAUUUUUUUUUCUUUGCAAAAACAAUAAUAUGCAGAAUUUUAAAAAUAAAACAUACAGGGAGGAAAUUUUUGUCAAUUAUAUUUCUGACAAAGUUCUUAAAUCCAG
rnacentral:lncRNA from 1 species